AUAAAUGUAAUGAAAAGGAUGCUUUGUGGAAGGCUUAAUCAGAGAAAUAAUCAGUUUGGUGAAAGAUUAUUGCUAGAUACCAUAAAGAGAUCACCUUUGAACAGAAUUUCUGAAGGCAAUCGUCUCAGGAAAUUACGGGGAAUCGUUAAAUUCAUAAGAGUGGGCAGUUUUCUGUCAACUUGGGUGGUACCGCGAUUUUUCGUCCCUUGG
rnacentral:ncRNA from 1 species